AAACUUUCAACAACGGAUCUCUUGGUUCUGGCAUCGAUGAAGAACGCAGCGAAAUGCGAUAAGUAAUGUGAAUUGCAGAAUUCAGUGAAUCAUCGAAUCUUUGAACGCACAUUGCGCCCUCUGGUAUUCCGGGGGGCAUGCCUGUUCGAGCGUCGCAA
rnacentral:rRNA from 1 species